UUUCCCUCAGACGAAACACUCCUGAAGUCAAACGUCUCACAAAUCGUAAGCAGCCGGCCAACGACCGGCGACGACGGAGCUCCCGCUCAAGAAACCGUCAACGUGCGACGAAGAAGAUAAAAACGCUUUCUUCUCCCUUUUAGAAGCAGCACGAUCGUUUCUUGUUGUGGACUCUGAUGGAAAACGCUCUCACAAAAUAGAACGGGCCCUCUCUUCUUCCCCGCUCACCCUUUUCCGCAUCAGAAGCUAACCGCCGGAAAGCAUAAGUCUCCUCACCGGACAUGUCUUCUAGGACUCUUCCUUACUCGAGCAAGGAUGUCGAUUACGACAACGCAAAGUUCCGAUACCGAUCGCCCUUCAAGGUUGUGACACAGGCUUUCAGUACUAAUAGCAUCAGACAUGACUGUGGAAGAUGCGGUGUGGGGAAGUUCUUAAUGCUAUUGAUGAUUAGCGGUUUAACUUAUUUAAUGGUUAUUCAUAAAAGCCCUAGUCAGCUUGCAUCUCGUAGAUUUCUGGAGAAUACCACGACAGGAGAUGGAUAUCAUGUAAAGGAAAGAAUUGGUAAAAUUGGAAGGUUUUUACAGAAGCCCCCAAGGCUUCCUCCACAGUUUUCACCUGAUGACAUUAAAAACUCGAGUUGGAAUCUUAAUCCUAAUAAGUUGUAUGAUAAGUCUGAAUUGAUGUCAAGGCAAAAUCAGGUUAAAGAAGCGUUCAUACAUGCCUGGUCUGGCUAUCGAAGAUAUGCCAUGGGCUACGACGAGCUAAUGCCCCUGAGUCAAAAAGGUGUUGACGGCCUUGGGGGCCUUGGUGCUACCAUUAUUGAUUCCCUUGACACAGCUAUGAUCAUGGGACUUAAUGAAAUUGUUUCCGAAGCAACUACUUGGGUAGAAAAAAACCUUAUGGAGAGAAUUAACAGGAAGGGGCAUGUAAAUUUGUUUGAGACCACAAUACGUGUUCUAGGAGGCCUUCUUAGUGCUUAUCAUUUGGGCAGAGGUGAGCAUGAAGUGAAGUCCAAGGUCUUCUUAGAUGCCGCGAAGAAUUUGGCUGACCGUCUACUGUCUGCUUUUACUUCAAGUCCAACACCGAUUCCAUUUAGUGAUGUUGUGUUGAGUGAAAGAUCAGCUCAUGCCGCUCCUGAUGGCUUGAGCAGUACUUCAGAAGUUUCAACAUUGCAGCUUGAGUUCAACUACCUCAGUAAACUUUAUGGUGAUCCUAGGUAUGGUUUGGAGGCAAUGAAAGUGUUGGAACACUUCAAAACACUUCCCAAAGUUGAAGGGCUUGUACCCAUCUACAUCAGCCCUUACUCUGGCCAGUUCAGUGGCGAGAACAUUAGACUCGGUUCUCGUGGUGAUAGCUACUACGAAUAUUUGAUUAAAGUUUGGAUUCAACAAAAGGAUAGCCGUAACAAUCAACUGAAAUAUUUACACGACAUGUAUGAGGAAGCUAUGAAAGGGGUCAAGCACCUUCUCGUCCGGAAGUCUACACCUAAAGAACUGGUUUUCAUCGGAGAGCUGCCAUAUGGAUCUAAGGGCUCCUUCAGUCCAAAAAUGGAUCACCUUGUGUGUUUCCUUCCGGGUACCCUUGCUCUCGGUGCAACCAAGGGCCUUACAAAGAGAAAAGCAAUAGAACUCAAUCUGCUUACUGAUGAAGAAUUGGAAAACUUAUCUCUUGCUGAGGAUCUGGCCAAGACAUGCUUUGAAAUGUAUUCUGUUACUUCAACAGGUCUAGCUCCAGAAAUUGCCUAUUUCAAUAUUGAGGGUAAUUCGGAGCAUGGUCUUGAUGGUGGCAACAAAAGUUCAGAAUAUGUAAAUGACAUAAUAAUUAGGCCCAAUGAUCGGCACAAUCUUUUGCGACCUGAAACUGUGGAAUCCUUAUUUGUACUCCAUCGCAUUACUCAAGAUCCAAAAUAUCGGGAAUGGGGUUGGAAGAUCUUCCAGGCUUUUGAAAAACAUACCAAGGUGGAUUCCGGAGGUUACAGUUCUCUAAGUGAUGUCACAAGGAUUCCCACUCAUAAAAGAGACAAGAUGGAGACUUUCUUCUUGGGAGAAACCUUGAAGUAUUUAUAUUUGUUAUUUGGAGAUGAUGAUAUUCUUCCUUUGGAUAAAUUAUUAAUGUUCCUCAACUAGAUACAAAUGGUCUCCAUCUCGCACUGCAAUGAUAUCAUCUGUUUCUGCAUUCUACUGAUUCACUACUUUUGUAGGAUUACAACCCACCCUCAAACUUCUAACCUGCAGUUUUCCAGGUUACAGGUUUAAAUCAAUGAUUUUGCUGAAAGAUGCCAGACUUACUGCUUAUUCUGAGAAGCUCUUCCACAGAUUCAGGUAGAAUUAUCAACUUCCCCAAUUUUCAUCUUGAUUUACAUGCCACUUCAGAAGGCGCAUGAAUGAUGAUUCUUUUAUUUACUAAUCUCAAACUAACACUGCCUAUUGGCUGUGUUCCUCUUUCCUGAGUAAGUCCCACUUUUUCAUAUUGCAAGCAUUUGAAGCUGGGAUCUAAUUCUAUGUUUCUUUGGAUCUGAUUUUUGCUGAUACUGUUGGUAAUUUUUGGCUGUUUGUUUUCAAUUUUCAUUCUAUUCUCCUGUUCUGAUAAAAAACCUUGGGACUCAAACAUAGAUUUUACCCAGCCACAGUGUUAUGUUUCAUCCAAGUUUGUUUUUUGCUUUAGCAGCGGCCUCCUCUUUUCAUAAUUUCUCAUUUAGAUCAAAUUGAAAUUAGUUAUGUUGCGGAGGACUUUGUCUGCUAGGUCUACUUCACCAUCCUCAGUUUUCUUUGAAAUCAUGUUUCCUUUAGCCAUGGAUCUUCCAUAAACUACGUUGUUUUCCUGGUACUCUGACCAUUCUCUGAGAUAUGAUAAUGAUCCUAAACCUUGGUAUUGCAUUUUUGAUAAAUUUUCUUGAACCAUUCAUCAGAUAUUUAUGUAAUCAAUGAGAAACUUUAUGUAAAGUCCUGUAUGUUGUAGUUUGGUAAAUUGUUCACCAACCACUUGGUUUGCUGGACUCCAAGGUCCAAAUCCUUGCCCAAAAAGAAAAUUUUGGCAAACCAAAUCAAUUUGAUACCUGGCAAAGGUUGUUUAUGAUAGCCCCAUCUCUUAUAACUUCUCGGACAAUAUUGAUAAAUGUAGUUCUACCGAGUCUUAGAAUUUCUGAGAGCUCAGUGGUAGUUAUGGUGCAUGGCUGAGGGGCAUCAACAAAGAACACCAAGUUUCUCCAAAAAUGUCGCCAGCAUAUGCCUUUCCCUGAACCUGGUCAAAUGUGGCCAGCGUUGGAGGGACCACAUUGUCAAAAGAGAUGUCUGACAAGUGGAUACAUUUAGAGUUGGCAUAAGGUCUCCCUAUACUUGGGUGACAGUUUUUUUUAGUGGAGGACACAUUUAGACGUAUACAAUUUGCAUCUUGUUUAAUUUGUUUUACUUCUGCUUUACUUAUUCUAUUUUUCUAUAUUUUAAAUCUGUCUCUCUUGGGCUUUAAUAUGAGCUGGUCAUGACCAUAUUUGACAAUGCGUUUCGUCCCUUGGUUCUGUUAGUGCAUGAUCCAAAACGUCUGAAUUUCUUACAUACUUUACUCUUUGCUAUUUAGAAAGUCAGCUGAAAAAGUGCAACAAAUAUGAAAAAUCAUUGACUAUAUGUGAUAAAGCUAGGAAGAAACUAUAAACUAUAAAAGUUAAAGGUGAAAUGGUUGCAAUGGUUUGUUGUAUAUACAUCUAUGGAGAAAAAUAAAGGAAAUAUAUGUUAUCAGUUUGGCCCACGAGCUUGGACAGGCGAGCUGGUCAAUUUUAUGUGGGAGGAUUUGUGAAGAAAACAUAAGGGCUAAAGGCUUGAGUAGAAACCAACUAUGAUGGGUAAUACUAGAAUAUAUUUUAGGGGCAUUUACACGCAUACUAC